CGGCUCACACCUAUCAUUGAAUUUCCAGGAAUUCUGAGAGCCAGUUAUUAAAGAUAGCCAUUUAAGUAAAUUAUAUCAUAUAAAUUUAAAAUUAAUCAUACUUACCAAGAUGAAGGUGAUAAAUGCCCCAAACUCAUCAAUUUCUAGUUGUUUUAGAGAUUUUUACGAGUGCCUACAUUCUUAAAAUUAUUUAUUUGUCUCUAUGGUAUGUGGAUCUGGGGCAUCUGUCUGGGCGAAACCCUACCUAGUGGUGUGCUAUGGUGUUUCUCCUCCCAACUUCACAUGUGGCACAGUGACACUGGCACCUUACAUUAUAACAGAAGUAUUUACAGAACGGAAAUCGGCAGAUAUGACAAAUAUGGGCCUUUUCCUCCUGAAAGACUAAUUGUUAAAUGUUUUAUCAGUAUACAGCUGUACAGUUCUUAAAAUAGUCCUCUGAGUUUUUGUCUUGCAUACACGGAUUUGGGCUGGCUUCUGGAACCAUCCAAAAGGGGUGGACAAGACAGAACUGUCCACUGAGCCCCGGGAAAGAUCCCAACAUUCACCCAGCUGCUAACUGAUGCUCUCUUCUUGCAUAAACCCACCCUCAACAUUCCCAGGGAGCUUGUCAUGCACCUUGAGUUGUAACUGUCCACACGUUUGUUUGUUGUAUCAUCUCAAGAUCAUGUUGGAAAAAAGAGAUUGGUCCAGUUGGACUUGUUCUUAAUGUGAAUUUUGAGAAACAGAGGUUCUGCAUUUCAUCGACUCUGGGUGUGAGGAGACAUUGCCUUCACUGCACGUGUAAUCCAGCAUCUCUGGAGCACCCCUUCUGUGCCAGCCUGGAACUCUGCUAAGCACUCAGUGAAGGAAUGGAAAUGAACCUUGACCUCAGGAGUUAGCCAUGUACCUGAGGAGACACUCAUAAAUCAACAACUAGAGAAAACCAUAAUGUCUCUGGAGAGAAGGCAGGGCAGGGCACUGUGGGAUCCCAGAACAAGGAAUAAAUUACCUCAACAGUAUGUAGAAGGAAUGGCUGUGGGGAGAUGGCAGGAGGGAGACAUGGGACGCUUUCAGGGCAGGCGGAGUGCAUCAGUGAAAGCCCUUAAUUGAAAACAACAUAAACCAGUCCUGGAUAAGCGGAAAAGAGACUUAACAGGACACCUUAGAAAGCCUGGAGAAUCUCUACGAGGGCCUUGAGACUAUGUGUGCCAAGACAACACCCAAAAUUACACUGCAGAGCUAGUUCUGUGACACUGUCAUGGACAUCUAACUUGACAUGGGCGAGGGACAUCUACCAUUAGACUCCCCGUGGCUGACGUCUUUGACAGCUGAAUGCAGUUGCCUCCACGAGAUUCCACACAGUGCCUGAUUCUAUAAUCCACAGGCUUCUUGUUCAACGCCAAGUGGGAAUAUGUCCGACUGGUGAAGCCUGGGUCACGUUCCUGUGUCUUAGUUGCAAGGAAGCCUGGGAAAAAUCUGACUUCAGGUUUUGAGAAGAUGAGUAACUCUUCACACCUAGAAAGGUGGUGAAAGAUUUAGUCAGCCCAAAGAACAUAUGUCCAUUAUAGUGGGAGUCUUUGGCUGAGUUUCACAGGAAGUUUAGGAGUGUGUCGGAUUGACAAGAUCUUGAUAGGACAUGGAAAAUGUAUGGGACAACGUAUUUAAAGGCUUGGUGACCUGAGGAAACUGGAACAGUUAUGUAAUUUCAAAUAUUUCAGUCUGGAUAAGGUAAAAGGUGUGUGUGUGUGUGUGUGUGUGUGUGUGUGUGUGUGUAUACACCAGAGGUGAUGACCAGAUACGAAUCUAA
rnacentral:lncRNA from 1 species